GUUUAAAUUUCCAAUACAUGGCUCGUUUCAAAUUGGCUUUGCUUCUAUUUCUUUCCUCUCUCUUCCUCCAUGCAGCUGUAGGUGAGAUUGUUUGCGAGGAUUUGCCAAAGGAUGUAUGCGCAUUUUCUAUCGCAUCAUCUGGGAAGAGGUGCUUGUUGGAGACGUAUGCGACGAGAGAUUGGAAGGUGGAGUACCAGUGCAGGA
rnacentral:misc_RNA from 1 species